GCGCCUAUAGCUCAGCUGGAUAGAGUGGCAGACUUCGAAUCUGAAGGUCGGGGGUUCGAAUCCCUCUAGGCGCA
rnacentral:tRNA from 2 species